UCAGGUAGUAGUGGGUGUAGCGUACCUACUAGCCUACGACGGGUACGGGUUGUGAGAGCAAGAGCCCGGAGAUGGAUUCUGAGACACGAAUCCAGGCCCUACGGGGUGCAGCAGGCGCGAAAACUUUACAAUGCUGGAAACAGCGAUAAGGGGACCUCGAGUGCCAGGUUACAAAUCUGGCUGUCGUGAUGCCUAAAAAGCAUUGCAUAGCAAGGGCCGGGCAAGACCGGUGCCAGCCGCCGCGGUAACACCGGCGGCUCGAGUGGUAACCGUUAUUAUUGGGUCUAAAGGGUCUGUAGCCGGCCGGAUAAGUCUCUUGGGAAAUCUGGCAGCUUAACUGUCAGGCUUUCAGGAGAUACUGUCUGGCUCGAGGCCGGGAGAGGUGAGAGGUACUUCAGGGGUAGGGGUGAAAUCUUGUAAUCCUUGAAGGACCACCAGUGGCGAAGGCGUCUCACCAGAACGGACCUGACGGCAAGGGACGAAAGCUAGGGGCACGAACCGGAUUAGAUACCCGGGUAGUCCUAGCCGUAAACGAUACUCGCUAGGUGUCGGCAACGGUGCGACCGUUGUCGGUGCCGUAGGGAAGCCGUGAAGCGAGCCACCUGGGAAGUACGGCCGCAAGGCUGAAACUUAAAGGAAUUGGCGGGGGAGCAC
rnacentral:rRNA from 1 species